UUAGUACUCCCUCUGUCCGGAAAUACUUGUCAUUAAAAUGGACAAAAAGGGAUGUAUCUAAAACUAAAAUACGUCUAGAUACAUCUCCUUUUAUCCAUUUUGAUGACAAGUAUUUUCGGAUGGAGGGAGUACUAC
rnacentral:pre_miRNA from 1 species